UCGUAACAAGGUCUCCGUUGGUGAACCAGCGGAGGGAUCAUUACCGAGUUUACAACUCCCAAACCCAAUGUGAACCAUACCAAACUGUUGCCUCGGCGGGGUCACGCCCCGGGUGCGUCGCAGCCCCGGAACCAGGCGCCCGCCGGAGGGACCAACCAAACUCUUUUCUGUAGUCCCCUCGCGGACGUUAUUUCUUACAGCUCUGAGCAAAAAUUCAAAAUGAAUCAAAACUUUCAACAACGGAUCUCUUGGUUCUGGCAUCGAUGAAGAACGCAGCGAAAUGCGAUAAGUAAUGUGAAUUGCAGAAUUCAGUGAAUCAUCGAAUCUUUGAACGCACAUUGCGCCCGCCAGUAUUCUGGCGGGCAUGCCUGUCCGAGCGUCAUUUCAACCCUCGAACCCCUCCGGGGGGUCGGCGUUGGGGAUCGGGAACCCCUAAGACGGGAUCCCGGCCCCGAAAUACAGUGGCGGUCUCGCCGCAGCCUCUCCUGCGCAGUAGUUUGCACAACUCGCACCGGGAGCGCGGCGCGUCCACGUCCGUAAAACACCCAACUUCUGAAAUGUUGACCUCGGAUCAGGUAGGAAUACCCGCUGAACUUAAGCAUAUCAAUAA
rnacentral:misc_RNA from 1 species